rnacentral:rRNA from 1 species
UUAAAUUGAAGAGUUUGAUCAUGGCUCAGAUUGAACGCUGGCGGCAGGCCUAACACAUGCAAGUCGAACGGUAACAGGAAGAAGCUUGCUUCUUUGCUGACGAGUGGCGGACGGGUGAGUAAUGUCUGGGAAACUGCCUGAUGGAGGGGGAUAACUACUGGAAACGGUAGCUAAUACCGCAUAACGUCGCAAGACCAAAGAGGGGGACCUUCGGGCCUCUUGCCAUCGGAUGUGCCCAGAUGGGAUUAGCUUGUUGGUGGGGUAACGGCUCACCAAGGCGACGAUCCCUAGCUGGUCUGAGAGGAUGACCAGCCACACUGGAACUGAGACACGGUCCAGACUCCUACGGGAGGCAGCAGUGGGGAAUAUUGCACAAUGGGCGCAAGCCUGAUGCAGCCAUGCCGCGUGUAUGAAGAAGGCCUUCGGGUUGUAAAGUACUUUCAGCGGGGAGGAAGGGAGUAAAGUUAAUACCUUUGCUCAUUG